GGCGUAGGUGAUGGACAACAGGUUGAUAUUCCUGUACUACCGAUAACCGUUUGAGAGAAGGGAUGACACAGUAGGAUAAGCUAAGCACACUGUUGGUUAUGUGUGCCCAAGCAUUGAGGCAGUCAAAGUAGGCAAAUCCGCUUUGAUAAUGCUGGGAUGUGAUGGGGAGCGAAAUUUAGUAGCGAAGUAGCUGAUUUCACACUGUCAAGAAAAGUCUCUAUCGAGGUUAAAGGUACCCGUACCGCAAACCGACACAGGUGGGUGAGGAGAGUAUCCUAAGGCCAGCGAGAGAACUGUUGUUAAGGAACUCGGCAAAAUGACCCCGUAACUUAGGGAUAAGGGGUGCCACCAUUAGGUGGCCGCAGAGAAUAGGCCCAAGCGACUGUUUACCAAAAACAUAGGUUUCUGCUAAGUCGCAAGACGAUGUAUAGGAGCUGACGCCUGCCCGGUGCUGGAAGGUUAAGGGGAUCUGUUAGAGUAAUCGAAGCAGUGAACUUAAGCCCCAGUAAACGGCGGCCGUAACUAUAACGGUCCUAAGGUAGCGAAAUUCCUUGUCGGGUAAGUUCCGACCCGCACGAAAGGCGUAACGAUUUGGGCACUGUCUCA
rnacentral:rRNA from 1 species